rnacentral:rRNA from 1 species
UACAGAGGUGACUAACGUUGUCCGGAAUUAUUGGGCGUAAAGGGCGCGUAGGUGGUCGAGUAAGUCAGGUGUGAAAGCUCUGGGCUUAACCCAGGAAUUGCGUCUGAUACUGCUCGGCUUGAGUACGGUAGAGGGGGAUGGAAUUCCGCGUGUAGCAGUGAAAUGCGUAGAUAUGCGGAGGAACACCGAUGGCGAAGGCAAUCCCCUGGGCCUGCACUGACGCUCAUGCACGAAAGCGUGGGGAGCAAACAGG